UCUUAUGAAUGAGCAAAGAAAGUGAUUUCUUGAGCUGGAAUAUACUCCUGGUGAAGAUGCUGUAAA
rnacentral:pre_miRNA from 1 species